rnacentral:rRNA from 1 species
CUCAACUAGUUAGGCUUUCGGGGAGUACUGCCAGACUUGAACCGGGAGAGGUAAGAGGUACUACAGGGUAGGAGUGAAAUCUGUAAUCCCUGUGGGACCACCUGUGGCGAAGGCGUCUUACCAGAACGGGUUCGACGGUGAGGGACGAAAGCUGGGGGCACGAACCGGAUUAGAUACCCGGGUAGUCCCAGCCGUAAACGAUGCUCGCUAGGUGUCAGGCAUGGCGCGACCGUGUCUGGUGCCGCAGGGAAGCCGUGAAGCGAGCCACCUGGGAAGUACGGCCGCAAGGCUGAAACUUAAAGGAAUUGGCGGGGGAGCACAACAAACCGGGUGGAGCCUGCGGUUUAAUUGGACUCAACGCCGGACAACUCACCGGGGCGACGGCAAUAUGUAGGCCAAGCUGAAGACUUUGCCUGAAUCGCUGAGUAGAGGUGCAUGG